AUCCAGGGGCUGCCUGACCCAUGGCUCUUUUCCUGCUUCCGAUCCCGUCCCACCCUUUGAAUUGGGUCAAGAGGGUUUGGUACUGAGUCUAUCCAGGAGAGUCCACCACCACUCCCUUCCCCAACCCAGGGUGUAACAGGAUAAAAAGGGAAAUGACCCAGCCCCAUGGUGGUGUGACGAGAGGAUUCUCAGAGGCUCUGGACCCCAGCCUGACCCUCAUUGGCUUUGUAACUUUGGGAAAAUCACUUACCCUUCUUAACCUUGAGUUUCCUCAUUUGUAAAACUGUCUUUAGGAACCACAACAUUUAAAGAAUAAACCCAUGAGCACUGUGGAAACUCAAGCGUGCUAUGUAAAUGUAAGCUUUUAUUAUGCAUGGUCAAGUUUUUAUGAACUGCGAAAGAAAAAUUUGGCUGAACAGCCCUUCCUUGUUCUCAGCCAAUUUAAGGAGCCAGGACAACUCACUGCUUUAUGAGAAACCACCCUCAUCCUUCAACUGGGUUUGAAUUUUUCUAACACUUGGACUCAUUUUGUUGAGCUCUUCAAGCAGCAGAUCAAAUUGAGCCUGGAAAUAAAGGCUUCGCACCCCUCUGAAAUCCCAUGUAGCAGCCACACAAAAAACAGGGCUCUGGCCUCUCUGAUUGCCCAGAGUGAUGACUGUGUUUUCACAUUCAAGGGAUUUCAGGAGGCUAAAAGGAUCUUUGUUUUUUCUGCUUGUGGAUCAUAACCUGGUCACACAGGGCAGGCAUCUGGGCCUGUCCAUUCAUGAAUCUGGUUAUACCAACCAAAGCCAUCCAGCAAACCUGAGACCUAACCCAGAAGACUGUUCUGCCAGAGGGCUUUGGAGGAGCAGCCUUGUGUCCUUCAGCAGAAAGGUGAGUUGGAAAAGCUGGAAAACAAUAUCAGAGUCAUCAGAGCUUCUCGCCUGAGGCGGGUGUCCGUUGGCAUGUGAGCAGUGAGCCCAGGACCACUUGAGAUGGGAAAGGCAGAGCUCUCAAUCUUUGGCAUGGCCUUCUCCACCCAUCCUGACCCCCAAGGGGCAGAGAGAGAGGUGGAGGGAACCGAGAAGCAGGAGCAGCCAGCCCCCUCUGCGAAGCUCAGUUCACACCCAGAGCCAACCUGGCUCUGUUGCCUGGGUGGGUCCCAGAUCCCUGGGCUCAACCCUUUAAACCCAUAUACUCCAGAGGUUUACAGAUGGGCGGGAUUGCUCUUCUUCCAGGGCUUCCCAUCUCUCUUUGCACCGUGAGACCGGGCUAAUUUUGUUUAGCGGCUUUAAGAAGAGUUGGAAGAUGUUCUGCACAAUUUUUCAAACUGAAAACUCGACUACAGGGAAUUUCUAGAGACCAAACCCCUGCAGGGCCUUAACCACAAGUGAUUGACAGCUGCGGGCUGUGGCUCCUCUGGCUGUGAAUGGUACCCGAGUUCCUGAUCGUCCCUGUGAAUGGCAGCAAAGUGAAAACCAGGACAUAGAAAAAAUAGGUCUGCCCUGGCCACUGCUCCCCUUUGGAAUUCUUGGUUCUCUUGUGUCACCUUCAAUAUAUCCAUGGAAUGUCUAAGUUGUUUCGUUUGGAAAACAAAUAUAGAAAGAAAUGGAAUCAAAUAUUUAGUGAGCAGGAGAGUGGAUACUGAUAGUCAUUGGAGCUAGUCACAAAUACUCUGGAUUUCCUUCUGGGCACAUAGGGAGGUAGAAUUUGAACGCCCUUUUUGCAUUAGAGAAGACCACGUGCUUCCUUUACUGAUUGAAAUGUGAGCAGAACAUCACAUGUCUCUCCUGGUUGGCAGCUUUAAGGACUAGCACAUGACUAACUGUGCCUCUUCCCUAUCUCCGCAGAAACAUCUGUUGAGAUGAAGCCUCUGUCCUUCUAAGAGAUGAAACCUCUAUCAGCUUAGGUCCUUGAGUACCUUAUGAUGGGCAGAAACCCCCCACCUCAUGCUGACCUGUGGUGGACAUACAUUGUGAGCAAGAAACAGCCUUUGUUGUUUGAAGCCCUGAAAUCUUGAGGUGGUCUUCACAGCAUGGCCUCACUUGUCUUCCCUGAAACAACAACAAAAUACCAAGUACAAUACUGUGGGUCCUUCUCAUCAUGUCUGGACUCCUGGGGAACAAGUAAGGAACCAACACCAUCCGAGUGCAGCCGUGGAACUGCCUCCAUUCAAACCCAGUCUUAUUCUACUCUAUGGGCAUAAACUUUUGUGGCCCAGAAUGAUGUGAAUUGAAUACUAACUUCCCUAGUUCUGAACACUUUUUGUUACUAUCUGUGAGUUUUCUGUCUGUUAGUUACUCGAAUGACAGAGUCCUCAACUAGUGAUUUCUAGGGAGAUUUUCCUUUCCUCCCAUAAGCUCAGAGAGGAUUUCUCCACCACCCCCACCCCUGACACUGGUAUCUCCACUUCCAGGGCACUUUGGUAUCCAUCAUCUGGCUUUCUGUUUUCUGAAAGCAUUGCUUUCCCUGGCCAGCAGGCUCUGAGUUUUUUCUCAUUGUCUGCAUGCCUUGCGGCAUAGUUAAUGCUGAUGGUCUUUCAAUGAGAAAAGUAACCUCCAGUGUGAUGUCUAGCUGAGUACGUACUUUCUUUUAGCAUUUGGACAUUGUCAUUAGGCAGCCCCUGCCCCUCCCAC
rnacentral:lncRNA from 1 species